GUGGGACUGCCCGGUACGUCAGGCAACUCAACCCCUGGGCCGAUAAGCACUUCCUUAGGGAGCUGGCUCUGUCGUGAUCGUGGUCAUGAUAUCUGGCGCCCACCUGCGUGAGCAGGUCCGGGAGGGCUGAAAGACCGACGGCCAUGGUGGUUCCACA
rfam:Asaia platycodi SF2.1, WGS project CBLX01000000 data, contig: 8